UACGAAGGGGGCGAGCGUUGUUCGGAAUUACUGGGCGUAAAGGGCUCGCAGGCGGUCCUUCAAGUCAGAUGUGAAAGCCCCGGGCUCAACCUGGGAACAGCAUUUGAGACUGGAGGACUUGAGGACGGGAGAGGAGAGUGGAAUUCCCAGUGUAGAGGUGAAAUUCGUAGAUAUUCGCAAGAACACCAGUGGCGAAGGCGGCUCACUGGCCCGAUACUGACGCUGAGGCACGAAAGCGUGGGGAGCAAACAGG
rnacentral:rRNA from 1 species